AGCAGAGUGUCGCAGUGGAAGCAUGGAAGCGUUCUGGGCCCAUAACGCAGAGGUCCGUGGAUCAAAACCAUGCUCUACUA